GCAGCCGAGCGGUAGAGAUCUUUCGGGAUCUUGAGAGCGGCGUACGGGUGCGGAACACGUGUGCAACCUGCCUUUAUCAGGGGGAUAGCCUUUCGAAAGGAAGAUUAAUACCCCAUAAUAUUUAGAAUGGCAUCAUUUUAAAUUGAAAACUCCGGUGGAUAGAGAUGGGCACGCGCAAGAUUAGAUAGUUGGUGAGGUAACGGCUCACCAAGUCUGCGAUCUUUAGGGGGCCUGAGAGGGUGAUCCCCCACACUGGUACUGAGACACGGACCAGACUCCUACGGGAGGCAGCAGUGAGGAAUAUUGGACAAUGGGUGCGAGCCUGAUCCAGCCAUCCCGCGUGAAGGAUGACGGCCCUAUGGGUUGUAAACUUCUUUUGUACAGGGAUAAACCUAGAUACGUGUAUCUAGCUGAAGGUACUGUACGAAUAAGCACCGGCUAACUCCGUGCCAGCAGCCGCGGUAAUACGGAGGGUGCAAGCGUUAUCCGGAUUUAUUGGGUUUAAAGGGUCCGUAGGCGGAUCUGUAAGUCAGUGGUGAAAUCUCACAGCUUAACUGUGAAACUGCCAUUGAUACUGCAGGUCUUGAGUGUUGUUGAAGUAGCUGGAAUAAGUAGUGUAGCGGUGAAAUGCAUAGAUAUUACUUAGAACACCAAUUGCGAAGGCAGGUUACUAAGCAACAACUGACGCUGAUGGACGAAAGCGUGGGGAGCGAACAGGAUUAGAUACCCUGGUAGUCCACGCCGUAAACGAUGCUAACUCGUUUUUGGGAUGCAAGUUUCAGAGACUAAGCGAAAGUGAUAAGUUAGCCACCUGGGGAGUACGUUCGCAAGAAUGAAACUCAAAGGAAUUGACGGGGGCCCGCACAAGCGGUGGAUUAUGUGGUUUAAUUCGAUGAUACGCGAGGAACCUUACCAAGGCUUAAAUGGGAAAUGACAGGUUUAGAAAUAGACUUUUCUUCGGACAUUUUUCAAGGUGCUGCAUGGUUGUCGUCAGCUCGUGCCGUGAGGUGUUAGGUUAAGUCCUGCAACGAGCGCAACCCCUGUCACUAGUUGCCAUCAUUAAGUUGGGGACUCUAGUGAGACUGCCUACGCAAGUAGAGAGGAAGGUGGGGAUGACGUCAAAUCAUCACGGCCCUUACGCCUUGGGCCACACACGUAAUACAAUGGCCGGUACAGAGGGCAGCUACACAGCGAUGUGAUGCAAAUCUCGAAAGCCGGUCUCAGUUCGGAUUGGAGUCUGCAACUCGACUCUAUGAAGCUGGAAUCGCUAGUAAUCGCGCAUCAGCCAUGGCGCGGUGAAUACGUUCCCGGGCCUUGUACACACCGCCCGUCAAGCCAUGGAAGUCUGGGGUACCUGAAGUCGGUGACCGUAACAGGAGCUGCCUA
rnacentral:rRNA from 1 species